UACGGAGGGUGCAAGCGUUAUCCGGAUUUACUGGGUUUAAAGGGUGCGUAGGUGGAUAAUUAAGUCAGUGGUGAAAUCUUCAGGCUUAACCUGGAAACUGCCAUUGAUACUAUUUGUCUUGAAUACUUUGGAGGUAAGCGGAAUAUGUCAUGUAGCGGUGAAAUGCUUAGAUAUGACAUAGAACACCGAUUGCGAAGGCAGCUCGCUACACCUGCAUUGACUCUGAGGCACGAAAGCGUGGGGAUCAAACAGG
rnacentral:rRNA from 1 species